AAUAAGAUCCAGACUGAGCAAGGACCCAAGUUCAUAGUCUUUCCUCUGGGCUUUCAGCAGCCCCUCUUUUCACGCUCCUAGUGCGUGGGGAGCUUGCAGCUGGCAGUUCGCGUAUGUUACUCUUCCCUUCCCUUCAAGAGACUGGGUGUAGAGAAGAUGCUUCUGGCCGCACCUGAAUGAGGGCAAAGCCAGACGACAAGAUAACAAACAGCCCCAGUUUGUGCUGUGACUCAGCCCCCACCAGCUGGAUUGCAGCAACCCCAGCUCCUUGCCUGCCUCUGACUCAGAUGAAGGACAUCCUUGUCCCGUGGAACAUCUGGCUCCCAGGUCCUGAG
ensembl:lncRNA